rnacentral:tRNA from 1 species
GCGGAUGUAGCUCAACCGGAAAGAGCGGCGGUUUCCAAGUCCGUCAGAUGAGGGUUCGAAUCCUUCCGUCCGUGCCA